GACGAACGCUGGCGGCGUGCUUAACACAUGCAAGUCGAACGGAAAGGCCCUGCUUUUGUGGGGUGCUCGAGUGGCGAACGGGUGAGUAACACGUGAGUAACCUGCCCUUGACUUUGGGAUAACUUCAGGAAACUGGGGCUAAUACCGGAUAGGAGCUCCUGCUGCAUGGUGGGGGUUGGAAAGUUUCGGCGGUUGGGGAUGGUCUCGCGGCUUAUCAGCUUGUUGGUGGGGUAGUGGCUUACCAAGGCUUCGACGGGUAGCCGGCCUGAGAGGGUGACCGGCCACAUUGGGACUGAGAUACGGCCCAGACUCCUACGGGAGGCAGCAGUGGGGAAUAUUGCACAAUGGGCGGAAGCCUGAUGCAGCAACGCCGCGUGCGGGAUGACGGCCUUCGGGUUGUAAACCGCUUUCGCCUGUGACGAAGCGGGAGUGACGGUAAUGGGUAAAGAAGCACCGGCUAACUACGUG
rnacentral:rRNA from 1 species